rnacentral:rRNA from 1 species
UACGUAGGGUGCGAGCGUUAUUCGGAAUUACUGGGCGUAAAGCGUGUGCAGGCGGUGAUGUAAGACAGUUGUGAAAUCCCCGGGCUCAACCUGGGAACUGCAUCUGUGACUGCAUCGCUGGAGUGCGGCAGAGGGGGGUGGAAUUCCGCGUGUAGCAGUGAAAUGCGUAGAUAUGCGGAGGAACACCGAUGGCGAAGGCAAUCCCCUGGGCCUGCACUGACGCUCAUGCACGAAAGCGUGGGGAGCAAACAGG